rnacentral:RNase_P_RNA from 1 species
CUAGGUGAAAUAAGUAGCUGCUGUUGUGUGAUAAACACAGCAGAGGAAAGUCCGGGCUCCAAGGAAAAAUAGUGACGGGUAACGCCCGCCGGAGGUAACUCCAGUUAUAGGACUACAGAAAAUUACCGCCUAAAAUAUUUUUAGGUAAGGGUGAAAAGGUGUGGUAAGAGCACACCAUAACAAUGGCAACAUUGGUAGUUGAGUAACCAACACUAGGAGCAAGAUUAAAUAAGAGUAGACCUUAUGCUUUUCCUCAUAUCUACUCGGGUAAAUCGCAUGCAAUAAAUGGUAACAUUUAUUCCAGAUAAAUAGCUACAUAAACAGAACUCGGCUUAUAUUUCACCUAGGCCU